AGAAUGUAUCGGGUAGAACGUCUCCAGUGACACCUUUUGUUUCAUAUUAGAAUGGUUGUUGUUUUAGUGUCCACAUAGACCAAUAUUGAUUCUAAACUUCUUUUCUCAUCAUUUUUCUUCAAAAAUCAUCCUGGUGGAGUUAUCAAUACCAGUAAAUGGAUACUGAAAGCACAAGAAUUAUGACCAACAAUUAAUACACAGUGCUUCACAAAGCUGAAAGGAUUCUGUUUGGCAGAGAGCACCAUCAUUCAAGGAUUGUGGCAGCCUAGAGAAUGGGGAAUGUCUUGGCCAAUUAUGCAUCUGACAGUCUGUAUAUAAAAUAUGUAACACUGAAUAUCAAGAAUACAUUACCCAAAGUAAAAAUGUAUGUGUAGACCUUUGUAAAAACUUCUCAAAAGAAGAAACACAAGCCCUUCUGGAAUGCAUCUGUGCCAUGGCGGAUUGGCAAGUCUGCCCCUCUAAACACACCACAGUUUACCAGACUUCUAGGUGAUCUGCUGUAGCCAGGGCAACAGGUAGGAAAACACCCUAAAUAACCACAACACUUGUGAUCUCCAAGGGGCCCAAAAGAUGCUGGACCACUCCAGUCCAUGAGAACUCAAUCUCCCUUCAGGUCUGGACCUCUUCAAUGGCUGAUCAGCAUAUCUGCCCCUCUCAACAGUUCAGAGUCUACAGAUCUCCUAGGAGAUCUCUUGCAGCCAGGAACACAGGUCUCUCAGGGGAUUUUCUGCAAUCAAGGACACAGGAGGCAGAUUCCAGAUGGAGAAGCCCAGGCCACUUAAUAUCAGAGAUGAGCAGAUGGCAAAAAGCAAGCUCAAUAACAUGAGCAAGAUAAGACAAGAUACUUCAGCACCAUCAGAUCUUAGUUCUUCCACAACAGUACGCCUUGGAUAUCCCAGCACACCUAAAAAACAUGAUUGUGACCUAAAAUAUAAUCUCAUGUAGAAGACAGAGACAUUUAAGGAGGAUAUAAGUAACUCACUGGUAGAAGUAUAGGAAAACACAGUCAAACAGGCAGAAUCCAUUAAAGAGGAAACAAAUCCUCCAAAGAAACACAGGAAAACAGUGUCAAACAGGUGAAGAAUUUGAACAAAGAAGUACAAUACCUAAAAAUGGAAGUAGAAACCAUAAAGAAAUCACAAAUGGAGGUAACCCUAGAAAUGGAAAACCUAGGAAAGGGGUCAGGAGCUGCAGAUGCAAACAUCAAAAACAAAUAUAAGAGAUAGAAGAGAGAAUCUCAGGAUUAGAAGAUACCUUAGAAGAUAUUGAAGAAAUAGUCAAAGAAAAUACAAAACAUAUAAAAAAAACACCUAACCCAAAACAUCCAGGAAAUCCAGGACACAAUGAAAGCAACAAACCUGAAGUUAAUAGGAAUAGAGAAAAAGUGAAGAUUCCCAGCUCAAAGGACCAGAUAAUGACUUCAAUAAAAUCAUAGAGGAGAACUUCCCCAACCUAAAGAAAGAAGUGGCCAUAAAUGUAUAAGAAGCCCAUAGAACAACAAAUAGAUUGGACCAGGAAAGAAAAUCCCCUUGUAAAUAAUAAUCAAUAUACUAAAAUCACAGAACAAGAAAGAAUACUAAAACCUGUAAGGAAAUGGCCAAGUAUACACAAAAUUGAAAAUGCCAAGAAGUGCAUGGUAAAAGGGGCCUGAUAUAGCUGUCUCUUGAGAGGCUCUGCCAGAGGCAGACAAAUACAGAGGCAGAUGUUUGCAGCCAGGAAUUGAACUGAGAACAGGGUCCCUAAUUAAGGAGUUAGAGAAAGGACUGAAGGAGCUGACAGGGUUUGAAACCCCAUAAAAGAAAAACAAUGUCAACCAAUCAGAACCCCAAAGCUCCCAAGAACUAAACCACUAUCCCAAAAAAACACCAGGAUGGCCCUGUCGGACAUCAGUGGGAAGAGAGGCAGUUGUUCCUGUCAAGGCUCGAAGCCCCAUUGUAGGGGAAUGUCAGGGUUGGGAGGUAGGAGUGAGUAGGUGGAUGGGUGGGGAAGCACCCUCAUAGAAACAGGAGGAGAUAUAGGGUUUCUGGAGGUAAAACUGGGAAAGGGGAUAACAUUUGAAGUUUACAUUCAAAAUACCCAAAAAAUGUCAGAGAGAGAGAGAGAGACAGAGAGAGAGACACAGAGAGAGAGAGAGACAGAGAGAGAGACAGAGAGAGAGACAGAGAGAGACAGACAGACAGACAGAGAGAGAGAGAGACAGAGAGAGAGAGAGAACACAAACACAAACAUUUUUCCAGGCUAGUAAACUAUGCAAAACUCUGAAUCAUCAUGGACAGAGAAAACAAAAUAUUCCAGGACAAGAUCAAACUUAAAUAAUAUUUAUCUACCAUCCAGCCCUACAGAGGAUUCUAGAUGGAAAAUUCCAACACAAGAAGGGGGGUACCAAAACAAGGUACCAAAGGGGGGUAAAAACAAGAAAUUAAUCAUCUCAACAAUAACAAAAGGAAAGAGUCACAUAUACAUAAUGCCACCUACAACAACAAACAUUACAGAAACUAACAUUCAUUUGCAUUUAAUAUCUCUCAGUAUCAAUGGAAUCAAUUCCCCAAUAAAGAGUAAUAAGGUAAUGGACUGGAUAUGCAAGAAGGACCCAGCCUUUUGCUGCAGGCAGGAAACUUCCUUGACAAAGGCAGACUCCACAUCAGAGUAAAACGUUGGAAAAAAUUCUUCCACACAAGUUGUUCCAAGAAACAAGCAGAAGUUGCCAUUUUAAUAUCCAAUAAUGCAGACUUUCAACUAAAAGUUAUCAUAUUCAUUAAAGGUAAAUCUACCAAGAGAAAUAUCAAUUUUGAAUAUCUAUGCCCCAAAUGCAAGGGAAACAUCAUUCAUAAAGUAAAUGUUACUAAAGCUCGAAGCAUACCUUGAACCCCACACAAUAAUAACGGGAUGAUUCAACACCAUCUCACUAAUAGACAAAUCAUUGAAACAGAAAAUAAACAAAGACACAAUGAGUUAGUAGAAACUCUGACCCAAAUGGAUUUAGCAGAUAUUUACAGAACAUUACAUCCUGAAACAAAAGAAUAUACCUUUGUCUCAGCACCUCAUGGUGUAUUCUCCAAAAUUGGCCAUAUGACCAGUCACAGAACAAGCUUGAACAGAUACAUGAAGAUUGAAAUAAACCUCUGCAUUGUGUUCAGAAAGCACACAUACUCGAGAAAAUUGAACAAUUCUCUAAUCAAUAAUAACUUAGUCAGGGAAGAGAUACAGAAAGAAAUAAAAGACUUUCUAGAAUACAAUGAGAAUAAAGACACAACAUACCCAAACUAAUGGGACAAAAUGAAAGGAUUGCUAAGAGGAAAAUUCAUAAUAUUAACUGCCCUCAUAAUUGGAGGGAUCUUACACUAGCAACCCAACAGCACACCUGAGAUUUCUAGAAGGAGAAAAAGCACACUCAACCACAAGGAGAAGAGGGCAAGAAAUAAUCAAGCUAGGUGCAGAAAUCAACCAAUUAGAAAUAAAGA